rnacentral:rRNA from 1 species
GACGAACGCUGGCGGCGUGCUUAACACAUGCAAGUCGAACGGAAAGGCCUUGCUUUUGUGGGGUGCUCGAGUGGCGAAUGGGUGAGUAACACGUGAGUAACCUGCCCUUGACUUUGGGAUAACUUCAGGAAACUGGGGCUAAUACCGGAUAGGAGCUCCUGCUGCAUGGUGGGGGUUGGAAAGUUUCGGCGGUUGGGGAUGGACUCGCGGCUUAUCAGCUUGUUGGUGGGGUAGUGGCUUACCAAGGCUUUGACGGGUAGCCGGCCUGAGAGGGUGACCGGCCACAUUGGGACUGAGAUACGGCCCAGACUCCUACGGGAGGCAGCAGUGGGGAAUAUUGCACAAUGGGCGGAAGCCUGAUGCAGCAACGCCGCGUGCGGGAUGACGGCCUUCGGGUUGUAAACCGCUUUCGCCUGUGACGAAGCGUGAGUGACGGUAAUGGGUAAAGAAGCACCGGCUAACUACGUG